CAGGAGUAUGUCGAAUACCUCGGCAGUGCAGGAAAGCCUGAAAAAACAUCCGACUAUACAAUUAAAUCAUGGGUUUACGAAAAUUUAUUAGAAUUUUUAUAUUAACGUGUAUUAACGAAUUCGUAAGAAGGAGGUAUGUAGGCUUUUAUUACCUAUGUUUACACAAAUAAAUAACUGUCAUUACAUCCCAAUUAAAGAACAUGAAAGUAAUACAAAAGAAACAUCACAAUAUUAACAGCGGUCCUAAAAAAUACUUAAUCGAAAUGUAACCUUAACACCAAUCUACGUCUUAUAGUAAUAGUGACAGUUGGUCAAAUAACAAAGAAAAAUAUCGUGUCAUCAAAAACUAGACUGUAUUUUAAAAAAUACGGAGGGAAUGUCAUUAUAAGUAUUGCUGUUAAUUUACAACUUAUUUCUCAUAAGUUUCACUUUAUACCUGAAUUUGUAACAUUAAUUUGUUUUUAUAUUAUUACUAAAAAAUAAUUAACACCAAAUUUCAGUCAAACGACUAACAAGUUUUUAUUUUUCCAUUACCUAACAUUUGGUUGAAAAUCUUCGAGCACGAGGAGUAGAGUUCUUGAUAAUUCCACCAAAGUACUGCUAACUGACCAGAGAAAAACUAUCAUACAGCAAGGUGAAGGUGGCUGUGAGUAUAGACAUAUUGAAGCGUCUCAAUAUCCUCAUUGAUUACGUUGAUGACGGAUAUUUACAAAGAACACCCAGGAUCGUGUGGGGCGCCACACUCUUCUUGGAAGUUAUACAGAGAAGAAAUUUCAAUGAAUUCGGCUCCCGCAACAUCAACACCUUAUCCAUCUAAAUCCGCAACUUCAACACCUUAUCCAUCGAAAUCCGCAACUUCAACACCUUAUCCAUCUAAAUCCGCAACAUCAACACCUUAUCCAUCUAAAUCCGCAACUUCAACACCUUAUCCAUCUAAAUCCGCAACUUCAACACCUUAUCCAUCUAAAUCCGCAACUUCAACACCUUAUCCAUCUAAAUCCGCAACUUCAACACCUUAUCCAUCUACAUCCAGCAAGAAAUGUAAGGAAACUUAUAAAUAAGAAAUAAAACUACUGAAUGUUAUAUAUUUUAUUUGAUUAUCAUACAUCGUCAUUUGUGAACAGGAUCUUGUAACGAGAGCUUAUUUACAAUACCAUUUAUUUGCUAGUUCAAAAAGUAUUAUUUAACAUUGCUAAUGUCUUAAUUGACAAGCUGAAAUGCCGAAAUGAAUAUUAUGCAUGUGUAUUAAAGUCUAUUUUCGAUCGAACCGUAGGCCUUAAAAUAGAAAGGCCAAAACAAAAAAUAAAUAAAAAAAUAUAAAAUUUUCAUUUCAACCAAAAGCAACAAUCAUCGAAUCGAAAAAAUGUGCAAAAUGAUUUAAUAAAUACUUAUUUAAUUUUUGCUAUAUUUAAAUAAUGUCACUAAUUUUAUAGUCUAUUUAAUUUUUACGAUAAUUAUUUUCGUCUGUAAUGUACACGGUUCAAUGUUUUGACAAUUACGAUCCGUGAAAAUUUCGGUUCAUAUCAAUAAAAUGGGACAGGCGAUAAAAUACAUUCCUAAUAGUCGAUCUUAAAAAUAUAUAGGCGAAAUAAAAUUGGUCCACAGAACAAUUUUUUUUUU